AUUAGCUCAGCUGGCAGAGCACCUGACUUUUAAUCAGGGUGUCCGGGGUUCGAAUCCCCG
rnacentral:tRNA from 5 species